rnacentral:lncRNA from 1 species
AGAAAAGUUUGGAUGAUUCCGCCAUCCCGGGUUAUAUGUAUUGGAAAAUCGGUCAUUACCCGGUCUGGGCUGUGUUUGAGCAGCAUUAAUGUGUUCUUGCACGAGUUCGGGGAAUUGGGGUGCUAAGGGGCACUCAUGAAUAGGGUGGGAUGGGCUAGAACAGAGAGCACACACUUGUGCUUGGAGAAAGUUUGGGAGCUAUUCUCUAGACAUUAGCUGGUCCAACUUGCGGGAUAGUGCAUCUACUUUGUCAGAUAGACCUAUGGACUGGCUAACAUCAUAUAUGGUUCCUUUUCUUUGAGAACUCGGGGGUGCUUGACAAGCAGAGGAGGCAUGGUGGAGGAAAUUUUCAUUGAGGUUUUCAAACAACUGUCAUGCCUCAUGCUCACUCUUAAGCAUGAAAGUUUUCCCACAAGAAGCAUCAACCAUUUGACGAUUUCGUUCAGACAACCCGUCAUAAAAGCAUUGCACUAGUUGCCAUUUGGGUAUUUGAUGAUGCGGGCAUUUUCGGAGUAAAUCUCUAAAUUUUUUUCAAGUUUCAUGAAAUUCUUUUCCGUCAGAUUAGGAGAAGUUCGUGAUAGCACGCCUAAAUUGGUUCGUUCUUCCUAUGGAAAAAUAUUUUUUUAGAAAUUCAUGUUGCAUUUGAGCCCAUGAGAGAAUGGAAUUGGCUUAUAAUGAAUGGAGCCACUGCUUAGCUCUAUCCUUAAGAGAGAAAGAAAACAACCUAAGUUUCAGAGCAUCAUCAGUGAAGUUCUGAAUUUUAACAGUAGUGCAGAUCUCAAAAAACUCAUCUAAAUGUUUGUAUGGGUCUUCAUUGUUGAGUCCAUAAAAAGAGCGAAGCAUUUGGAUGACACUAGACUUAAUUUCAAACUGUACAGCAGCAGUGGUAUCAGGUAGUCAAAUGCAAGAUGGAGAGGUAUAAAUGGAAGGAGUGAAGUACUCCUUUAACAGCUUGGGUUGUUCUUCAGCCAUCUCGACAGGUGGAGCAAAUCCUAUGGUUCUAUAGGUGCGGAUUCCAACUCAAAGGGCCCUAAUAGAACGCUCUAUUUCAGAAUCAAAAGGUACUAAUUCAAAAGAUCUAGAACGACACCCUAGCAUACACUAAAGC